rnacentral:rRNA from 1 species
AACGAACGCUGGCGGCAGGCUUAACACAUGCAAGUCUAACGGGCCCUUCGGGGUCAGUGGCAGACGGGUGAGUAACGCGUGGGAAUCUACCUUGAACUACGGGAUAGCUCCGGGAAACUGGAAUUAAUACCGUAUGUGCCCUCCGGGGGAAAGAUCUAUCGGCUCAGGAUGAGCCCGCGUUGGAUUAGCUAGUUGGUGGGGUAAAGGCCUACCAAGGCGACGAUCCAUAGCUGGUCUGAGAGGAUGACCAGCCACAUUGGGACUGAGACACGGCUCAAACUCCUACGGGAGGCAGCAGUGGGGAAUAUUGGACAAUGGGCGCAAGCCUGAUCCAGCCAUGCCGCGUGAGUGAUGAAGGUCUUAGGAUUGU